UACGUAGGGUGCGAGCGUUGUCCGGAAUUAUUGGGCGUAAAGGGCUCGUAGGCGGUCUGUUGCGUCGGGAGUGAAAACUCAGGGCUUAACCCUGAGCCUGCUUCCGAUACGGGCAGACUAGAGGUAUGCAGGGGAGAACGGAAUUCCUGGUGUAGCGGUGAAAUGCGCAGAUAUCAAGAGGAACACCUGAGGUGAAGACGGGUUGCUGGGCUGACACUGACGCUGAUGCGCGAAAGCCAGGGGAGCAAACGGG
rnacentral:rRNA from 1 species